rnacentral:lncRNA from 10 species
AGAGUCUCGGGCUCUGUAGCCCAGGCUGAAGUUGUGGUGAGACAAGAAUGCGCAACUGCACUCCAACUUGUCUCUGAAAAUAAGAAGCCCAAAGCCCACACCUUACCUUGGACCACUUAAAUCAGAAUCUCUUGCAGUGGGAUUUGGGUAUCAGUAGGUCUGAAAACUCCCUCAGGUGAUUCCAAUGUGCAGAAGAGUGUGGGAACCACUUCUCUCUGACCUUGCUACUUAAGUAUGACCGAUGGACCAGUGGCAUGACAUCAUCAGGAAGGUUUUUAGCAAUCACAGGCUCAGGCCCCACCCCAGACCUAAUGGGUCAGAAUUCCCUUUUCACAAGAACCACAGGUGAUUUGGGCAUGCAUUUAAGCAACAGACUCACUGCUCUAGGGCAUAGCAAACUAUUCCAUCCACCACUGUCCACAGGUAGUUUAUUUCUGCUUCAGAAAUGCAAAAGCAAGUGCGGAGAAGCAAGAAUGGAGAUCUGAAAGCAUUAUUUUCUUAAAAAGUAAAGUUAGAUAAAUAAAAGGGCAAAGUUUGAGCCUAGGACAUUUUUACAGAUUAUUCAGAUAUAAAAUUUUUCAGAUAAGUUAUUCCGCUAUAUGUCCCAUAACAUCAUGCUGUACAUCUGAAAUAUACACAAUAAAAUGCAUUUCUUUAAAUAAAUAAAAUGUACCAAGUAAUAUUUUUAAAAAAUUGUUCCACUAUAACAACAAAAAAAGGGCAAUAAUAACUACUAUUCAAAUGAGGGAAAGAGGAGACCAGAGGAAAGUUCGUUGGUUUGAACACUAG